rnacentral:rRNA from 1 species
UACGUAGGGCGCAAGCGUUGUCCGGAAUUAUUGGGCGUAAAGAGCUCGUAGGUGGUUUGUCGCGUCUGCCGUGAAAGUCCGGGGCUCAACUCCGGAUCUGCGGUGGGUACGGGCAGACUAGAGUGAUGUAGGGGAGACUGGAAUUCCUGGUGUAGCGGUGAAAUGCGCAGAUAUCAGGAGGAACACCGGUGGCGAAGGCGGGUCUCUGGGCCGAUACUGACGCUGAGGAGCGAAAGCAUGGGUAGCGAACAGG